AUGCAGUCGAACGAUGAAGCCCAGCUUGCUGGGUGGAUUAGUGGCGAACGGGUGAGUAACACGUGAGUAACCUGCCCUUAACUCUGGGAUAAGCCUGGGAAACUGGGUCUAAUACCGGAUAGGAGCGCCUACCGCAUGGUGGGUGUUGGAAAGAUUUAUCGGUUUUGGAUGGACUCGCGGCCUAUCAGCUUGUUGGUGAGGUAAUGGCUCACCAAGGCGACGACGGGUAGCCGGCCUGAGAGGGUGACCGGCCACACUGGGACUGAGACACGGCCCAGACUCCUACGGGAGGCAGCAGUGGGGAAUAUUGCACAAUGGGCGAAAGCCUGAUGCAGCGACGCCGCGUGAGGGAUGACGGCCUUCGGGUUGUAAACCUCUUUCAGUAGGGAAGAAGCGAAAGUGACGGUACCUGCAGAAGAAGCACCGGCUAACUACGUGCCAGCAGCCGCGGUAAUACGUAGGGUGCGAGCGUUAUCCGGAAUUAUUGGGCGUAAAGAGCUCGUAGGCGGUUUGUCGCGUCUGUCGUGAAAGUCCGGGGCUUAACCCCGGAUCUGCGGUGGGUACGGGCAGACUAGAGUGCAGUAGGGGAGACUGGAAUUCCUGGUGUAGCGGUGGAAUGCGCAGAUAUCAGGAGGAACACCGAUGGCGAAGGCAGGUCUCUGGGCUGUAACUGACGCUGAGGAGCGAAAGCAUGGGGAGCGAACAGGAUUAGAUACCCUGGUAGUCCAUGCCGUAAACGUUGGGCACUAGGUGUGGGGACCAUUCCACGGUUUCCGCGCCGCAGCUAACGCAUUAAGUGCCCCGCCUGGGGAGUACGGCCGCAAGGCUAAAACUCAAAGGAAUUGACGGGGGCCCGCACAAGCGGCGGAGCAUGCGGAUUAAUUCGAUGCAACGCGAAGAACCUUACCAAGGCUUGACAUGUUCCCGAUCGCCGUAGAGAUACGGUUUCCCCUUUUGGGGC
rnacentral:rRNA from 1 species